GUACAUUCCUAUAGCAUAGUGUUAAUGCAUUGAAUCCCUUUAGAACUCUGCAGUUAAGCGUGCUUGGAAUAGAGUAGUACUAGGAUGGGUGAUCGCCUGGGAAGUCAUAGUGUUUUACA
rnacentral:rRNA from 1 species